UACGGAGGGGGUUAGCGUUGUUCGGAAUGACUGGGCGUAAAGCGCGCGUAGGCGGAUCAGGAAGUUGGGGGUGAAAUCCCGGGGCUCAACCCCGGAAUGGCCUUCAAAACUCCUGGUCUUGAGUUCGAGAGAGGUGAGUGGAAUUCCGAGUGUAGAGGUGAAAUUCGUAGAUAUUCGGAGGAACACCAGUGGCGAAGGCGCU
rnacentral:rRNA from 1 species